GACGAACCGAGCGAACGUUGUUCGGAAUAACUGGGCUUAAAGGGCGCGUAGGCGGGCCGCCAAGUUCGAGGUGAAAUCCUCCGGCUCAACCGGAGAACUGCCUCGAAUACUGGAGGCCUCGAGGCGGGUAGGGGCAUGCGGAACUGUGGGUGGAGCGGUGAAAUGCGUUGAUAUCCACAGGAACUCCGGUGGCGAAAGCGGCGUGCUGGACCUUUUCUGACGCUGAGGCACGAAAGCUAGGGGAGCAAACGGG
rnacentral:rRNA from 1 species